rnacentral:misc_RNA from 1 species
AGGGAUCAUUACAGAGUUCUCGCCCUCGCGGGUAGAUCUCCCACCCACUGUGAUUGCUACCGUGUUGCUUUGGCGGGCCGCCGGGCCCAGCCCAGCCGCCGGCCCCGGCCGGCGCGUGCCCGCCAGAAGCCCCGCAAACUCUGAAUGUCAGCGUCGUCUGAGUACUAUACAAUAGUUAAAACUUUCAACAACGGAUCUCUUGGUUCUG